rnacentral:misc_RNA from 1 species
CCGCUUUGACCAUCUGAUCAUCAUUGUCUGGUUAAGCCACCUUUCCUUGGGAUUUGCACCGUGUUUCUAUCCAUGUAUUUGGGUCAUUACACAGCAGAAGUCACGAGUCUUUCUACCAAAGCUACAGAGAAAGAUGUCGAUGAUUUUUUCUCUCACUGUGGUGAAAUUGAACAAGUAGAGAUCAUCAGAUUGAGUGAAUAUGCUUCUAUAGCCUAUGUUACGUUCAAGGAUACUUAUGCACUGGAAACUGCUAUUUUACUCAGUGGAUCCACUAUACUAGAUCAAUGUGUUCAUAUAUCUCGCUUGGAAGCCCAUGUAGAUGAAGACGAUCCUUGGGAUAACUAUAUAGAUAUGGUGGAGAAUGGAAGCAGCUCUGCGGUCCAUACAAAUCAGUUUGUUUCAACUCCUGGAGAAGCUGUGACCAUGGCACAGCAGGUAGUUGAAACCAUGAUAGUGAAGGGAUAUCAACUAAGUAAGGAUGCGCUAACCAAAGCCAAAGCUUUUGAUGAGUCUUAUCAUGUGUCAUCUACUGCAGCAGCAAAGGUGGCAGAUCUCAGCAACAGAGUUGGGCUUACUGAUAAAAUUCGGUCUGGCAUGGAGACUGUUAAAUGCGUGGACGAGAAGUACCAUCUUUCUGAGCUUACCAUGUCUGCUGCAUCUUUUACAGGGAAAACAGCUGCAGCUGCUGCAACUGCUGUGGUUAGCAGUAGUUACUUCUCCAAGGGAGCUUUUUGGGUUUCAGAUGUUCUGCAUCGGGCUGCCAAGGUUGCUGCUGACUUGGGUAAUAAUGGUGUCAAAAAAGAAACAGCUCCGAUAGAAAUGAACCAAAUUGGUAAAUAGGGCUGACACAAUGUCUGCCCACAUGGAAUGAAUUUGUCCAAAGGUGUAAGCUUUCCAUGGAGACAUGAAUGUGAAUAUGAACAAUUUUAGCUAUAGUUGAAGCAGAAUGAGCAACAUGGUGUAUAACAGGAUCCAUACUUAUGGUAAUGUGUUGGUAUUUUGCAGUCAUUACCGUGGUUUAAUCAAAUUUGAUUUCCUCUACUCACGCGAGUACAAUGUAAGUAAUACGCUUGAUUGGAUUACAAGUUG